GUGCACGCUGGCGGUAGGCCUCACACCUGCAAGUCGAACGGCAGCACAGUAAGAGCUUGCUCUUACGGGUGGCGAGUGGCGGACGGGUGAGGAAUACAUCGGAAUCUACUUUUUCGUGGGGGAUAACGUAGGGAAACUUACGCUAAUACCGCAUACGACCUACGGGUGAAAGCAGGGGAUCUUCGGACCUUGCGCGAUUGAAUGAGCCGAUGUCGGAUUAGCUAGUUGGCGGGGUAAAGGCCCACCAAGGCGACGAUCCGUAGCUAGUCUGAGAGGAUGAUCAGCCACACUGGAACUGAGACACGGUCCAGACUCCUACGGGAGGCAGCAGUGGGGAAUAUUGGACAAUGGGCGCAAGCCUGAUCCAGCCAUACCGCGUGGGUGAAGAAGGCCUUCGGGUUGUAAAGCCCUUUUGUUGGGAAAGAAAAGCAGCAGGUUAAUACCCCGCUGUUCUGACGGUACCCAAAGAAUAAGCACCGGCUAACUUCGUG
rnacentral:rRNA from 1 species